rnacentral:rRNA from 1 species
GACGAACGCUGGCGGCGUGCUUAACACAUGCAAGUCGAACGGAAAGGCCCUGCUUUUGUGGGGUGCUCGAGUGGCGAACGGGUGAGUAACACGUGAGUAACCUGCCCUUGACUUUGGGAUAACUUCAGGAGACUGGGGCUAAUACCGGAUAGGAGCUCCUGCUGCAUGGUGGGGGUUGGAAAGUUUCGGCGGUUGGGGAUGGACUCGCGGCUUAUCAGCUUGUUGGUGGGGUAGUGGCUUACCAAGGCUUUGACGGGUAGCCGGCCUGAGAGGGUGACCGGCCACAUUGGGACUGAGAUACGGCCCAGACUCCUACGGGAGGCAGCAGUGGGGAAUAUUGCACAAUGGGCGGAAGCCUGAUGCAGCAACGCCGCGUGCGGGAUGACGGCCUUCGGGCUGUAAACCGCUUUCGCCUGUGACGAAGCGUGAGUGACGGUAAUGGGUAAAGAAGCACCGGCUAACUACGUG